rnacentral:rRNA from 1 species
UACGGAGGGUGCAAGCGUUAUCCGGAUUUAUUGGGCUUAAAGGGUCCGUAGGCGGUUCUGUAAGUCAGUGGUGAAAUCUCACAGCUUAACUGUGAAACUGCCAUUGAUACUGCAGGUCUUGAGUGUUGUUGAAGUAGCUGGAAUAAGUAGUGUAGCGGUGAAAUGCAUAGAUAUUACUUAGAACACCAAUUGCGAAGGCAGGUUACUAAGCAACAACUGACGCUGAUGGACGAAAGCGUGGGGAGCGAACAGG